UAAAAGUAUUUUAAAUGGCGUGCUGUACACUCAUUGGUGCAGUGAUUUUAGCUGCUCUGCGGGAGAAGAGACAACCGAUGACAUACGCCGAGCUGCUAAAACACAUCUCUUGCAAACUUCAUGUGCCCAAUUAUUUUAUCAAGAGCAGCUUCGGAGUUGCAUUGGAUAUGGCUCAUAGCCGAGGAUUUAUCUAUAAGGAGGGAUUUCGUUAUCGCCUGAGAACCGAUUUUCGUGGCAUACCUCUGAGACGCACAGUGGAGUAUGUCCUCAGUAAAAGGAACGAGGAACCGAAUCAGGGAAAUGCUGAACCAUGCAACAGCCAGCAUGCUGCUAUUGACGCUGCGGAAGGAUCUGUGUAUGAUCCCAGUGUGCUCUUUGUUGAAAAUCCACCAAUAAGCGUGGUAACUGUUUCUUCGGCGGAGACACUUCGUCCAAGCACCGAUUCUGUGAUUUAUAUCGGAACGACCUACAUCACACAAGCGGAUCGUCUUCAGAUGGGGUUUGGUAGGAAUCCCAAUUGUCCCGUAAAGCAGGAAUACUGCUACUGUGGACGUAUGUUCUAAAUGUCCCUAGCUUAGCUCCAGAACCGACCAGUACAGCCUAGCCUCGUUUUAUGGAUUCCUUUUAGGCGAAAUUUCAAUGUGUAUGUAAAUCAAGGCGUCAAUAAUUGCAGGUAACUUCAAGGUCCUAUCACCGAAAAACGGUAAUCUUCAAAAGGAGUUUAGCCCAAUUCUUCGGGGGACAGAAAUGGGUGCGACUCUAGAAAUUUGUUCAAUGGAAUGGAACAUUCAAUAUGUUUGCCAUUGAUUGUUCGAGAAAUCAACCUUGACCUUCUUCUACGUGGACUCAUACGGGGAGAAACUAUCUGGAAUCCAUGUAUUGUCAAAAGACACAAGGAUAUGUGUCUAUACUGCGGUCAAUUGGAUAAUGGGGGCAAAUCUGGUGACCUGAUCAUGACUUUCAACUUAAAUUCAGACAAGUCCGGAAUAGUUUUGAACUAAAACAAGUGCAGUUCGAAACGGGAAACGUAGAAGACGCUAAAGAUGUGGGAAGGACUUUCAUUCCUGAUAGUGCCUAAAAUAUCAAUUUCCAAAUCCACUGUGUUUAAUAUUGAC
rnacentral:sRNA from 1 species